ensembl:piRNA 21ur-3166 ncRNA
UCUAUUGGAAAAGAGGGACUA